GCUACGGGUGGCAGCAGUGGGGAAUAUUGCACAAUGGGCGAAAGCCUGAUGCAGCAACGCCGCGUGAAGGAAGAAGGGUUUCGGCUCGUAAACUUCUAUCAACAGGGACGAAAGAAAUGACGGUACACACAGAGGAAGCACAUGCUAACACCGUGCCAGCAGCCGCGGUAAUACGGAGGGUGCAAUCGUUGUCCGGAAGCAUGUGGCGUAAAGAGGUCGUAGGCGGCAUGUAAAGGCAGGUGUUAAAGGCGAAGGCUCAACCUGUGUAUGGUAGUUGUUACUUGCAAGCUGGAAUGCGGUGGAGGUAAAGGGAAUUCCUGGUGUAGCGGUGAAAUGCUUAGAUAUCAGGAGGAACAUCGGUGGCGUAAGCGCUUUACUGGACCGUAAUUGACGCUGAGGAACGAAAGCCAGGGUAGCAAAUGGGAUUAGAUACCCUUGUAGUC
rnacentral:rRNA from 1 species